rnacentral:rRNA from 1 species
AUUGAACGCUGGCGGCAUGCCUUACACAUGCAAGUCGAACGGCAGCACGGGGGCAACCCUGGUGGCGAGUGGCGAACGGGUGAGUAAAGCAUCGGAACGUACCCGGAAGUGGGGGAUAACGUAGCGAAAGUUACGCUAAUACCGCAUAUUCUGUGAGCAGGAAAGAGGGGGAUCGCAAGACCUCUCGCUUUCGGAGCGGCCGAUGUCGGAUUAGCUAGUUGGUGGGGUAAAGGCCUACCAAGGCGACGAUCCGUAGCUGGUCUUAGAGGAUGAUCAGCCACACUGGGACUGAGACACGGCCCAGACUCCUACGGGAGGCAGCAGUGGGGAAUUUUGGACAAUGGGGGCAACCCUGAUCCAGCCAUGCCGCGUGAGUAAAGAAGGCCUUCGGGUUGUAAAGCUCUUUCGGACAGAAAGAAAUCGCACAGGAUAAUACCUUGUGUGGAUGACGGUACUGUCAUAAGAAGCACCGGCUAACUACGUGCCAGCCGCCGCCGUAA